GUACACGCUGUGACUAGCAUAUCAAUAAGCGGAGGAAAAGAAACUAACAAGGAUUCCCCUAGUAACGGCUGAGUGAAGCGGGAAGAGCUCAAAUUUGAAAUCUUAAAGGGUUUCCCUUUAGCGAAUUGUAGUUUAAAGAAGUGUUUUCUGUUGAGGUUUUGGUAAAAGUUCUUUGGAAUAGGACAUCAUAGAGGGUGAGAAUCCCGUAUUUGACCUUUACUUUCAACUUUGUGAUACACUUUCAAAGAGUCGGAUUGUUUGGGAAUGCAGUCCAAAAUGGGUGGUAAAUUUCAUCUAAAGCUAAAUAUUGGCGAGAGACCGAUAGCGAACAAGUACCGUGAGGGAAAGAUGAAAAGAACUUUGAAAAGAGAGUUAAACAGUACGUGAAAUUGUCAAAAGGGAAGCGUUUGACACCAGUGUUGUUUUUCUGAAAAUCAAUUAAAGAACUGUUUAUGCUAAGCUGUUUAGACUUUAUCAGCUAAUCUGUUUAGUUUUGAGCUUUUCUUUAAUGCACUUUUCAGUUAACAAGUCCACAUCAAUUUCUUUUGCUGUAAAAAAGCUUGAGGAAGGUGGCUUGAGAUUCGUCUUAAGCUGUUUAUAGCCUCUUGCCUAUGCAGUCGGAGAGAUUGAGGUCUGCAGCGUAGAUCCUUCGGGGCUAAAUGCAUUUGUGCUAAGUUAUAACAUUUUAUAGACAACUUGUUGACUAUGAUUUGUCUUGUAGCUUACUCGCUUAUGUUAUUUUACCUACGCUUAGGAUGUUGACGCGCGUGUGUGCGUG
rnacentral:rRNA from 1 species